UCUGUCUUUUUCUCAGGUUUCUCUCCCUUUUCGACGACAAUAUUCAUCACCCGACGGAUAAAAGUAAAGGAAAUAGUAGUAGAAAGUUGUGAGUUUAGUUGCGAUAACAGUCAUUGAUAACCUGUUGGUUGUAUCGACUGUAUCAACAUUUUGUACUAUUUUUAAACCACCAAAGAGCAUCGCGUGCACAUUUUUAAACGGCUUAGAAUGAAAACAAAAGAGACAGGAUGUUCGUGUGAAAUGGAUGAAAAUUAGAAAGAGAGAGAGAGAGAGUGAGAAAGAGUGAGAGUGAGAGUGAGAAUGAGUAAGUGAGUGAGUGAGUGAGUGAGUGUAAGAGAGAUAAGCAAAGGAAGCGUUGAAAAGAGAAAGAUAAUACGUGGACUGACGUUUCGUUGAUCACUCGUGACCACUUUUAAAUCGCUCAUUAGUUUCUGAUCGUGUUUCUCUGUUUGCUACACAUAGAGACGAAGAUACACAAAAGGGGAUCAUCCAUCCUUUUGAGCAGUGUGUGCUUUGUGUCAAAUUUUCUCUUUACCGGUUUGUUUUCAAGUCACCGAACGGAGGAGGGAUCAGCUAACUAGAACGUUAUUUCCUGUCUUCCGAUCGUUCUCGAAUUUUUGUCGCAUAUUAACGAAGAAAAUUAAGUGAAAUUUUUAGAAACGUUAACGUUUUUUUAUUUCGUGAGUAUCGCAUUUCAAAUUCAUUACUGCCCCGCCUCUCUUUUUUUUUUUCGAUCAUCCCUAUUUCCACUCCUACAAUUUCGUUUUCAUCAUUUUUUGAAAUGUAUUUGUUAUAUAAAUAACGAUAAGAAAAUAAUAUUUCUGAGUAUUAUAUUGAAUGGCAUUAAUCAAAUUUUGGAUAAGCCCAACACGUAAAUGGCGUUUGCAUAAUACUCGACACUAUUAUCGACGUUACUUUAAAGAAUAAUGGCGAGCAAAAAUAAAAACCAAAGGAAAAGUAGUCCACGAGGACAAAUAUUUUAUUUAAUUCAUCGUUUAAUCGAAUUCAUUGCCAAAUGUAUAUUUUCAUUAGCAGCUUAUAUUCGUGGGCCAAAAGAAGGUCAACCACCUAUAAACGAUUUAACACUUUUACACAGUGCAACUACGUUAGCUUUUAAAAUUAGAAAUAAACAAUUAACUUCCGAGCAAGUAGUAAAGUCGUACAUUGAGAGAAUACAAGAGAUUCAACCAGUAUUAAAUUGUGUAGCUGAAGAUCGUUUUGAGGAAGCUCUCUUAGAAGCUAAAAAAUACGACGAAAUGUUAGAAUCUCCUAAUGCACCAUCUGCGAAAGUUCUUGCCAAAGAAAAACCUUUCCUAGGUGUUCCAUUUUCAACCAAGGAUUGUAUUGCUAUAAAAAAUAUGAAACAAACGGCUGGUCUGGUUUUACGAAAAAAUAUUGUCUCAGAGAAAGAUGCAGAAGUAAUAAGAUUGAUGAAAGAAGCUGGAGCUAUUCCAUUAGCAACAACGAAUGUUUCAGAAAUUGCUAUGUGGUGGGAAACCCAUAAUUGUUUAUACGGUACCACGAAGAAUCCGUACAACACUAGACAUAUAGUAGGUGGUUCUUCCGGGGGUGAGGGCUGCAUACAAGCAGCUGCCGGUUCACCAUUAGGAAUAGGAUCUGAUAUUGGCGGCUCUAUUCGCAUGCCAUGCUUUUUCAAUGGAAUUUUUGGUCAUAAACCUUCCAAAGGUAUUGUUUCUACUGAUGGUCAAUAUCCAAGUCCACACAACGAAGAUCAAAACCAAUUACUCGGGAUAGGCCCAAUGUGCAGAUUUGCACAGGAUAUGAAACCUGUUCUUAAAAUAAUAGCUGAUAAAAAUGCGGAAAAAUUGAAUUUAGAUGACAAAGUUGAUGUUUCGAAACUCAAAUUUUAUUACAUGGAGGAUGACGGAGGACAAUAUUUUGUAUCGCCUGUAAGCGAGGAAAUAAAAUGUGCUAUGAGAAAAGUGCUUCUUCAUUUUGAGAAAGUGUAUAAAAUAAAACCUACGAAGUUACAAGUACGAAAAUUAAAAAAAAGCGCUAAUCUGUGGUUCGCAAACAUGACAUCAAAAGGCGAUAAAGAUUUUUCCUACGAAUUGUCUAACAGGAGCGGACGUAUUAAUAUUUGGUGGGAAUUUACAAAGUGGUUAAUGUUCCUAAGCAAUCAUACGUUCAUUGCUCUAGUAACAGUAGCAUUUGAGAGGUUAGGUAUAAGACAUGGGAGUGAGCAAUACACAAAACUUAUACAAGAAAGUAGAGACCUUUACCAAGAAUUUCAGGAUCGGACUUCUUCUCUUGACUGUUUUGCAAUGUAUUUGCAAUGAAAAUAGCCAGAUAUGAUUUGUUCUUGCCAUAGAAUCAUGGAUCGUAUGUGAUCAUUUCUUAAUGGACAUGAUUUUUAUUUCCUCACGAGUCCAACGUAAAUCUGACGUGGAUAAAGCAAUAUUUCUAUGGAUAUUUUGGGAGAAGACGGUGUUUUCUUGUAUCCAACUCAUCCAACGGCAGCGCCGUUACAUCAUGAACCACUUAUAAAACCAUUUAAUUUUUCAUACACUGCAAUUAUUAAUGUCUUGGGUUUACCAGCCACCGCUUGUCCAUUAGGAUUAAACAAGGAAGGAAUUCCAAUUGGCAUACAG
rnacentral:misc_RNA from 1 species